GAUGAACGCUGGCGGCGUGCCUAAUACAUGCAAGUCGAACGCAUAGCGAAAGGUGCUUGCACCUUUCAAGUGAGUGGCGAACGGGUGAGUAACACGUGGACAACCUGCCUCAAGGCUGGGGAUAACAUUUGGAAACAGAUGCUAAUACCGAAUAAAACUUAGUGUCGCAUGACACAAAGUUAAAAGGCGCUUCGGCGUCACCUAGAGAUGGAUCCGCGGUGCAUUAGUUAGUUGGUGGGGUAAAGGCCUACCAAGACAAUGAUGCAUAGCCGAGUUGAGAGACUGAUCGGCCACAUUGGGACUGAGACACGGCCCAAACUCCUACGGGAGGCUGCAGUAGGGAAUCUGCCGCAAUGGGCGAAAGCCUGAUGGAGCAACGCCGCGUGUGUGAUGAAGGCUUUCGGGUCGUAAAGCACUGUUGUAUGGGAAGAACAGCUAGAAUAGGAAAUGAUUUUAGUUUGACGGUACCAUACCAGAAAGGGACGGCUAAAUACGUG
rnacentral:rRNA from 1 species